GAAAUGCGAUAAGUAGUGUGAAUUGCAGAAUUCAGUGAAUCAUCGAAUCUUUGAACGCACAUUGUGCUUUUUGGUAGCCCAGAAAGCAUGCCCCUUUCAGAAUUAUAAAAAUACAUCCAGUUUCUUUUUGUGUGCUUUAUUGCACAGAUGAGGAAGCUGGUACUUGGAUGAUCUUGCAUUCUAUUUGCAGUUAUCCAAAAUUCAAUGUAUGUGCAGUCACAGGUGCUCUUGCUGGCCAAAAUGCAACAGAAUACAUCUAUUUCAUAUUGGUUUCUUUUUUGCAAUCACUCUCUGACCAGCAAGUAAUAUAACAGUCUUGUGCUCUUUUGCACAGGACAAGUAACUUAAUCUGAAAUUGGGCAAGAAAACCCGCUGAACUUAA
rnacentral:misc_RNA from 1 species